rnacentral:rRNA from 1 species
UCUGGCGGCAGUAGCGCGGUGGUCCCACCUGACCCCAUGCCGAACUCAGAAGUGAAACGCCGUAGCGCCGAUGGUAGUGUGG